GGCGCUAUAGCCAAGUGGUAAGGCGGGGUCUGCAACACUCUGAUUCCACGGUUCAAAUCCUGGUGGAGCCUCCA
rnacentral:tRNA from 1 species